CCUACGCGAGGCAGCAGUGAUGAAUAUUGGUCAAUUGCCGCAAGUCUGAACCAGCCAAGUAGCGUGAAGGAAGAAGGACCUAUGGUUUGUAAACUUCUUUUAUAGGGGACUAAAAGUAUCCACGUGUGGAUAUUUGUAUGUACCCUAUGAAUAAGCAUCAGCUAUCUCCGUGCCAGCAGCCGCGUUAAUACGGAGAAUGCGAGCGUUAUCCGGAUUUAUUGGGUUUAAAGGGUGCGUAGGUUGUUUUUUAAGUCAGCGGUGAAAGGUUGUGGGUCAACCCGAAAAUUGCCGUUGAAACUGGGAGACUGGGGUGUGUUUGAGGUAGGCGGAAUGCGUGGGGUAGCGGUGAAAUGCAUAGAUAUCACGCAGAACUCCGAUUGCGAAGGCAGCGUACUAGGCCAUAACUGACACUGAAGGACGGAAGCGUGGGGAUCAAACAGGAUUAGGUACCCGUGUAGUC
rnacentral:rRNA from 1 species